AACGAACGCUGGCGGCGUGCCUAACACAUGCAAGUCGAACGAGAAAGGGGCUUCGGCUCCGAGUAAAGUGGCGCACGGGUGAGUAACACGUGGGUAACCUGCCUCUAAGAUUGGGAUAACUCGUCGAAAGAUGAGCUAAUACCGAAUAAGACCACAGUUCCCGCGGGAACAGGGGUCAAAGGUAGCCUCUGCUUGCAAGCUAUCACUUAGAGAUGGGCCUGCGCACCAUUAGCUAGUUGGUAGGGUAACGGCCUACCAAGGCAAAGAUGGUUAGCUGGUCUGAGAGGAUGAUCAGCCACACUGGAACUGAGACACGGUCCAGACUCCUACGGGAGGCAGCAGUGGGGAAUAUUGCGCAAUGGGCGAAAGCUUGACGCAGCAACGCCGCGUGAGUGAUGAAGGCCUUCGGGUCGUAAAGCUCUGUCGGGAGGAACGAAUGCUCCUGAGGUUAACAGCCUCGGGAGGUGACGGGACCUUCAAAGGAAGCACCGGCUAACUCUGU
rnacentral:rRNA from 1 species